UCCAGUGCAACCGAGACCGAAAAUGAUAAUACCAUCAAUGAAUGGGUAACCUUGAUCAAGAGAUUGCGGCCCUCUUCGGAAAACCUUUCAGUAAUAAAGUCUGGGAUGGAAAAAACAUUCACACAGCGCAGAGCAUGGAUUACAAGGGAAUCGCCCACACUUGCAGAAAUAUUGCGUGAAUAUCCACGAUUUAUGGACAUGCCGAGUCUGCUGGACUCAGAGUUUGGAAGGUUGACAGGUGAAAAGACAGACCUUUUCCUUCGUAGAUGGGAGACCAACAUCAUGCCAAAACUUAGAGUUGUGGCUGCCAUGGAACCUGGACUCAGCACUCUUUUGAGAGGAUUUGAAAACAUGACUGAAGAGGAGGCUUGUUACAGAACACUCGUGGUACUAACACACCUUCUGCCCCCUGUUAGUGGAAGACAAUGUAGCGUCAAGGAUACAAUAACACACCUUCUAGAUUUUGUGCCGACUGGAACAAGAAUAGCAUCCCUCUGCAAUGAUUCUGCUACUUCAUCAACAAACCAUCAGCCCCAGCUCAUCUGCAUCAGUAAUCUGCGGUCGUCAAAGCAGUAUGUCAUCGUUGCAAAAAAUGACAAAGUCACCAUCCCCCUGGAUGAUGGACUCACAUGUGCUGUGGACAAGCUUUUUAAGCUGUACUGGGUGUUUAACUUGUGUUAUCCAUCCCAACUCGGACCUGUCUUUACAUUUUUUGAGUACAUCUAUGAUCUUCCAUUCUCCACACAAAGAAAAACAAGGGUGAUUGAAUUGAUUGCACAACUUAAAGCUUGUAAAUGAAAUGUAUUGUUGUCCAAAAUGUAGACAAACUGGUUUCAAAGAGGUGAAAAAUCUCCUAUGGCACCUCCGUGAAAUACACUGCUUAUCAGAUGGACAGAAUAUAAAAAUUAGAUGUGCUCAGGAAAAUUGUCCAAGAACAUAUUAUAACUUGAAUUCAUUUACUAGGCAUCUACACAGAGUACAUUUUAAGAUGGGUACAAAAGAUAUGCCUGUUGUGCAAUCCUUGUUCCCAAGCGAGGGUUCAAACAGUGGAGAACAAACUCAUACUGAUAAUUUGGAUACACCCAAUAUUAUGGUUGCAGCUCCACAAUCAGAAAAUUAAAUUGAGCUCAGUAAUUGUGCAGCAUCUUUUGUUUCCCAGAUGUAUUCAUCUUCAAAUGUAACUUUUUCUGAUGUCAUGAAAAAUGUGAACUGUGCAAAGGAGCUAAUUACUAGAACUGUAGACAGGUUGCAGCAAUCAACUACAACUUUGUUGAAUAGUUUGCAAGUACCUGGUGACAGUGAUACUUUGAUGAAAGAGUUUGAAGAUGCCAAGCACAUAUUUGAUGAUCUUGACACACAAUAUAAAAUAAAAAAAUGUUUUGCGAAGUUUUCACUUGUCAAACCAAAGGAAAUAUUUUUAGGUCACAGAUCUGAUACAGCAAGAAAAAAUGGUCAAAUAAACCAAGUUUUAGUCGCAGACACAUUCCAGUAUCCAAGGAUAAUGGCUCGUUUUGGACCUCUGUCUAAACUUUGGUGCAUGUGAUUUGAAGCAAAGCAUAAUCCAUUCAAAAGACUUGCACAUGUUAUGUGCAACUUUAAAAACGUUUCAAAGACAUUGGCUUUCAAACACCAGGUACAACAAAUGUAUCACUAUAAACAUUGCUCUCUCAUCUCUAAGAAAGUCAGUGUGACCAAUGCCUAUCUUGUCAUUCUGGGGUCACUGGACAAAUCUGAGCUCUUGUUAAAUCAGUUAAUGUUAGCUCUAAAAACUGACAUGUCUUUAGCCACGAAAAUAUAUCUGUCUUACAGUCUUAAUGUGUAUAGUCAAAUCUACAUAACUGGCUCCAUUUUGUCAUUGAGAGCAGAUUACCGAAAAGAACCUGUAUUUGGUGAAGUUGUUCAUUUUCUGGCACAUAAUGACUCCAUUUUUAUCUUUGUUCAAAUACUAAAUGUAAUAUACUUUGAUGAUCAUUUUUAUGCAUAUGUAGUACAAAAAACUAGUGAUUAUGAAUUGAUCACGCUUGCAGAUAUUUGUGAUUUCCAUCCUUUAGAUGUUAUGACGAGUUUUGGUAACAGAAAGCUGUAUGUGGCACCAAGAUACAAAAUAUUGUAUUUUGAUCCAUGAUUGUUCGGUAUUGAAAAUGGAAGUUUAAAUUUGAGUGGGAUUGAAAAUCUCACGAAUGUUGAAAGGGACAGGAAUUUAUUUUCAUUUCUUUUUCAUGAUGUUUGUCAUUAUUUUCAUCCAUGUUCUCUUUUGCACAUGUUAUUGUAUUUAAAAGUGCUAUUUUGUUAGCUUGGUGAUUUCAAUUUCUAUUUUAAUUUUUUAAUAUUUGAACUAUAAAUUGUAGCUGUGUCAACUUUGCUAUUUGCAUGAUUGUAAUAAAAAAAACUCUAAUAUCCACAA